rnacentral:rRNA from 1 species
UACAGAGGGGGCAAGCGUUGUUCGGAAUUACUGGGCGUAAAGGGCGCGUAGGCGGCCGCCUAAGUCAGACGUGAAAUCCCUCGGCUCAACCGGGGAACUGCGUCUGAUACUGGGUGGCUUGAAUUCGGGAGAGGGAUGCGGAAUUCCAGGUGUAGCGGUGAAAUGCGUAGAUAUCUGGAGGAACACCGGUGGCGAAGGCGGCAUCCUGGACCGACAUUGACGCUGAGGCGCGAA